rnacentral:RNase_P_RNA from 1 species
AGAAAGUUGGGCAGUUGCGGGCAGCUUUUGCUGCGUGAGGAAAGUCCGAGCUUCACAGAGCGGGAUAACGGCUAACGGCCGCCGAGGGUGACCUUAGGGAAAGUGCAACAGAGAUAUACCGCCUGCUUUUGCAGGUAAGGGUGGAAAGGCGAGGUAAGAGCUCACCGGCGUGCGGGGAACCGCACGGCCCUGCAAACCCUAUCCGAAGCAACACCGACGGGAGGAGGAGCUUUAAGCUCCGGCGUUUGCUCGACGAUACUCCGACGGGUGGCUGAAGCCCUGCGGCAACGCAGGGCGUAGACAGAUGAUUGCCUUAAAUGACAGAACUCGGCUUACAGGCUCUCUCG